AUCUAGAAUUAAGACACUGAGUGGCAAGAUAGACACAAAUAUGUCCAUAGAAAUAUGGAAGGUUUUAAGCCAGAAAAUCCUUAAAUGAAGGUCUGUAGCAGUAUCUCUCCAGAUAUUUAAAAAUACAAUGAUCACCAAAAUAUGCUAUAAAUGUUUAAAAUGGACUCCUAUCGAAAGUUCAGAGGUCAAAGAUGAUGUUGUUUAUGGUACUCCUAGAAAUUGAUUCUUCUUUAUUUUUUCUUUUUGUUAAGAGUUUAAUUGCCACUAGAAUUAUUUUCAAGUUAAGAAGAUAAGAGGAUUGACUUUUUAAACUUCAAAAUGAACUUCCCUGCUAUGACUGACUAUAUUCCCCAGUAUGGAGAAUUAUUUCCACGGGGAGCAGAGCUGAUUUUCCUGGCUCUGGGCCUCAUGGUUUCACAACUACCUUUGUAAUUUCUCUUGGAGCUUUUCAUUACAGAAGUAAGGUUGCCUCUGCUCAGCUGUAUUCUUCUUUGAGCUAGGAUUGGACUGGCCAUGUGACACAAUUCUGAUCAAUGAGAUGUAGGUGGAAUUCUGUCAGUUACUUUGCCUUAUGUGGAUAUAUAGGAUAAAGCA
rnacentral:lncRNA from 1 species